rnacentral:rRNA from 1 species
UACGUAGGGUGCAAGCGUUAAUCGGAAUUACUGGGCGUAAAGCGCGUGUAGGUGGUGGGACAAGUCUGCUGUGAAAGCGCCUGGCUUAACCGGGCGAGGUCGGCGGAAACUGCCUCACUUGAGGACGGUAGAGGGGGGUGGAAUUCCCAGUGUAGAGGUGAAAUUCGUAGAUAUUGGGAAGAACACCGGUGGCGAAGGCGGCAACCUGGUCCAUUUCUGACGCUGAGGCGCGAUAGCGUGGGGGAGCAAACAGG